AUUGAACGCUGGCGGCAGGCUUAACACAUGCAAGUCGAACGGCAGCACAGAAGAGCUUGCUCUUUGGGUGGCGAGUGGCGGACGGGUGAGUAAUGUCUGGGAAACUGCCCGAUGGAGGGGGAUAACUACUGGAAACGGUAGCUAAUACCGCAUAACGUCGCGAGACCAAAGUGGGGGACCUUCGGGCCUCACACCAUCGGAUGUGCCCAGAUGGGAUUAGCUAGUAGGUGGGGUAAUGGCUCACCUAGGCGACGAUCCCUAGCUGGUCUGAGGGGAUGACCAGCCACACUGGAACUGAGACACGGUCCAGACUCCUACGGGAGGCAGCAGUGGGGAAUAUUGCACAAUGGGCGCAAGCCUGAUGCAGCCAUGCCGCGUGUAUGAAGAAGGCCUUCGGGUUGUAAAGUACUUUCAGCGGGGAGGAAGGCGGUGAGGUUAAUAACCUUGCCGAUUGACGUUACCCGCAGAAGAAGCACCGGCUAACUCCGUGCCAGCCGCCGCGGUAA
rnacentral:rRNA from 1 species